GAUGAAGAACGUAGCGAAAUGCGAUAAGUAAUGUGAAUUGCAGAAUUCAGUGAAUCAUCGAAUCUUUGAACGCACAUUGCGCCCGCCAGUAUUCUGGCGGGCAUGCCUGUUCGAGCGUCAUUACAACCCUCAGGCCCCGGGCCUGGCGUUGGGGAUCGGCGGAGCCCCCCGUGGGCACACGCCGUCCCCCAAAUGCAGUGGCGGUCCCGCCGCAGCUUCCAUCGCGUAGUAGCUAACACCUCGCGACUGGAGAGCGGCGCGGCCACGCCGUAAAACACCCAACUCUUCUGAAGUUGACCUCGAAUCAGGUAGGAAUACCCGCUGAACUUAAGCAUAUCAAUAAGCGGAGGA
rnacentral:misc_RNA from 1 species